CCCAUUCUAUUAGUACACUUCAACAUGUUCACUUGAUGGCUAAGAUCAUAAGUUAAAAUUAUACACUUUUUAAUUUUAGUCAGGAAGCAGGUUUAGUAGUCUUGUAUUUCUGGGAUUAAAAACUUGGCUAAACCAUGACUUAAAGGUAAGUUUGUGGGGGGUUUUUUUAAAUGGUCUUGCAUAUUUCUGUUCUGCAUACAGUGGUCUAUUUUGAAUGUGCAUAGUAAUGAUGAUGUAGAUUUCAAAAAUUGUCUCUCCCACCCAACCAUAUCUUAAAAUAAUCCAAAACACUGAGAUCUUCUUCAGACUCUGGCAAAUGGAUUUUGUAUCUUCUCUUCUGCCAAGACUGAAUCUGACCUGUGUGUUAAACUGGAAGGCCCAAAUCUGAAAAAGGCUCAGGGUUACUAGGCCAUAGCCAGCAAUAAUAGUAGUACACAAAAAUGGCCCCGGCACGCAUGAGCUUGUGCUCCUGCAAUGUGGUAGAAUGGCAAGUUCUUUAAAGAAAAUUUGCACAGUUUGGAUGAAAGGAUUUAUAAGCCCUUAGUACUACUAUAUUAUAAGUAACUUACCUUGUUAUAUAUAUUCUUUAGUUAUUAACAUACACUAAAGGGACA